UACGGAGGGUGCAAGCGUUGUUCGGAAUCACUGGGCGUAAAGCGCGUGUAGGCGGCUAUCUAAGUCUGAUGUGAAAGCCCUGGGCUCAACUCAGGAAGUGCAUUGGAUACUGGAUAGCUGGAGUACCGGAGAGGAGGGUGGAAUUCCUGGUGUAGCGGUGAAAUGCGUAGAUAUCAGGAGGAACACCGGUGGCGAAGGCGUCCCUCUGGCCGGAUACUGACGCUGAGGCGCGACAGCGUGGGGAUCAAACAGG
rnacentral:rRNA from 1 species